GAAUCGCUAGUAAUCGCGGAUCAGCUACGCCGCGGUGAAUACGUUCCCGGGCCUUGUACACACCGCCCGUCACACCACGAAAGUUUGUUGUACCCGAAGAGGGUGAGCCAACCGUAAGGAGGCAGCUCGCUAAGGUAUGGCCGGUAAUUGGGGUGAAGUCGUAACAAGGUAGCCGUAGGGGAACCUGCGGCUGGAUCACCUCCUUU
rnacentral:rRNA from 1 species